GUGGCGGGGCCCCGUCUGGCUCUGCACUGGGAGAAGCGCGUCUUGGCCCGGUGGUGGCCGGUGGCUCAAGGGCGCGCGUGGACAAGCGCUUCUCUGUUCCCCGUGUUAGCAGGAGGUGUCGCGGGUGUGGGCUCUACCUGGAUGUUGUGUCUGCCCGCGACACGGAGGGGCUGGAUUUGUUUCUCAGGCCAUCCUGUAUUUUAAUUUUAGAUGUACUUCCUGAAGCAUAUUUUUCAUAGGAUGUAGCGGGUAAAUAGCUUUUUAAAUGACUUCUUUUUUAUAAGAGCAAAAGUAUCUUUAGGAAUUUCUUUCUAUAGAGUCCUUCAUUAACCUUUAUACGAGUUUUUUGCUGACUCGAAUGGACAGCUGGGUUCCAGUGCUUUUUCCUUUUCCUUCUUUUCUUUUGUUGUUAUCUUACUCUUAUUUUCCUUUUAGGAACUAAGGUAUUGCCUGAAAAACAAGUGGCGUCUGCGCAGCCUUAUACUCUGUCUUCACAGAAGCCAAUAGGACACAAAAGAUCCAUUUCAGACACAUUUUGAAGACGAACCUUCAACUUUCAUACCAGCUCUUUGUUUUCCUUCUUGUAUGACGAGGGGGUUGGGGAUACAGUUAUUUUACUAGCACCUUGUGAAGUGUUUCUGUGUUUUGUGAUGCCGUAAUUUAUUAAUGUUGGUAGCUUUUUAUAUUUGUACAUUUCUUACGAGCUUUCUUUAUAUACCCAUUACCUGGAUGUUCUGUCCACGCGGAGAGGCAGCUGGGCAGAGGCCUUAUCCACUCCCGCUGCUGUUAGUAGGGGCUCGGUCCCCGGGCCCGAGGCCGGCAGAGGGGGAGUCUCCCGGGUCCCAGGCUUAUUCGGAACUGGGGUUUUUAAAAUCCCUUGGCCUGUCCUUGUCAAGCAUUUCUAUAAUCUAACCCGGGCAGCAAGUUCUUCUCUCUCUUUCUCUCCCUCUCUCUUCUCUCUUUUUAAUUUUAUUAUUAUUUUGGCAACAUGUAUAAUUCUAACAAAGUUUAUCACGGCUAUUAAAGUGUUUUAUUUCCCAGUUCAUAUUACUCUUGUAUCGAGUCCGUCAGGUCUAAGGCAACUUAGACCAAAGUUUUAAAAAAGUAAAAAUAUUUCAGGUUUUGUACAGAAAAAAAA
rnacentral:lncRNA from 1 species